UCGGAGAUCCGCCACCCUCUUUUGAAGAGGAGGGUGUGGCUCGGCACCUUCGAGACAGCCGAGGAGGCGGCAAGAGCCUACGAUGAGGCUGCUGUGCUCAUGAGCGGCCGCAAUGCCAAGACCAACUUCCCUGUCACCCGCAGCGAAGACAACCAGCCGCUUACCACGCUUACCUCCGCGUCACCGACUGGCCUGUCCGAGAUCCUGAGUGCCAAGCUCAGAAAGUGCUGCAAGGCUCCGUCCCCGUCACUCACCUGCCUCCGUCUCGACACCGAGAAGUCUCAUAUUGGUGUGUGGCAGAAGCGUGCUGGUGCUCGAGCGGACUCCAACUGGGUCAUGACAGUUGAGCUUGGAAAGACUGGUCAGAAGCCGCAGACACUCGAUGAUGAGGAUGAUGAUGAUG
rnacentral:misc_RNA from 1 species